CCUACGGGGGGCAGCAGUGAGGAAUAUUGGUCAAUGGCCGUAAGGCUGAACCAGCCAAGUAGCGUGAGGGAAGACUGCCCUAUGGGUUGUAAACCUCUUUUAUGCGGGGAUAAAGGUGUCCACGUGUGGAUGUUUGCAGGUACCGCAUGAAUAAGGACCGGCUAAUUCCGGGCCAGCCGCCGCGGUAAUACGGAAGGUCCGGGCGUUAUCCGGAUUUAUUGGGUUUAAAGGGAGCGUAGGCCGGUCUUUUAGCGUGCCGUGAAAUUUUGUGGCUCAACCAUGAGAGUGCGGCGCGAACUGGAGGCCUUGAGUGCGCGGAAGGCAGGCGGAAUUCGUGGUGGAGCGGUGAAAUGCUUAGAUAUCACGAAGAACCCCGAUUGCGAAGGCAGCCUGCCGCAGCGUUACUGACGCUGAAGCUCGAAAGCGCGGGUAUCGAACAGGAUUAGAUACCCGAGUAGUC
rnacentral:rRNA from 1 species